rnacentral:rRNA from 1 species
GAGCGAGAACCAGGGCUUCGGCCCUGGGGAUAGCGGCGAACGGGUGAGUAACACGUGGAUAACCUGCCCUCGGCACCGGAAUAGCCCGAGGAAACUCGGAUUAAUGCCGGAUAGCCCCACAUCCCUGCGGGGAACGUGGGAAAAGGUAGCUUCGGCCUCUGGCCGGGGAUGGGUCCGCGGUGGAUUAGCUUGUUGGCGGGGUAACGGCCCACCAAGGCGACGAUCCAUAGCUGGUCUGAGAGGAUGAUCAGCCACACUGGGACUGAGACACGGCCCAGACUCCUACGGGAGGCAGCAGUGGGGAAUCUUGCGCAAUGGGCGAAAGCCUGACGCAGCGACGCCGCGUGCGGGAAGAAGGCCUUCGGGUUGUAAACCGCUUUCAGGAGGGACGAAGCCACUCGGGUUAAUAGCCCAGAGGGUGACGGU